rnacentral:rRNA from 1 species
GACGAACGCUGGCGGCGUGCUUAACACAUGCAAGUCGAACGGAAAGGCCUGCUUUCCCUUGUGGAUUGCGGGUACUCGAGUGGCGAACGGGUGAGUAACACGUGAGUGAUCUGCCCCCAACUUGGGUAUAAGCCUGGGAAACUGGGUCUAAUUCCCGAUAGGACUGCAGGGUGGUGCCUGUGGUGGAAAACGAUUUUCUAGUGGUUGGGGAUGCGCUCGCGGCCUAUCAGCUUGUUGGUGGGGUAAUGGCCUACCAAGGCGGCGACGGGUAGCCGGCCUGAGAGGGUGGACGGCCACAUUGGGACUGAGAUACGGCCCAGACUCCUACGGGAGGCAGGAGUGGGGAAUAAUGCACAAUGGGCGGAAGCCUGAUGCAGCGACGCCGCGUGGGGGAUGACGGCCUUCGGGUUGUAAACUCCUUUCGACCGCGAGGAAGCCACCUGGUUGGAAGGGUGGUGACGGUAGUGGUAGAAGAAGCACCGGCUAACUACGUG